rnacentral:rRNA from 1 species
UACGGAGGGUGCAAGCGUUAUCCGGAUUCACUGGGUUUAAAGGGUGCGUAGGAGGGCAGGUAAGUCAGUGGUGAAAUCUCCGAGCUUAACUUGGAACUGCCGUUGAUACUAUCUGUCUUGAAUAUUUGUGGAGGUGAGCGGAAUAUGUCAUGUAGCGGUGAAAUGCUUAGAUAUGACAUAGAACACCAAUUGCGAAGGCAGCUCGCUAACACAUAUAUUGACUCUGAGGCACGAAAGCGUGGGGAUCAAACAGG